rnacentral:rRNA from 1 species
UAGGGAAUCUUCGGCAAUGGACGGAAGUCUGACCGAGCAACGCCGCGUGAGGAAAAAGUUUUUCGGAUCGUAACCUUUGUUGUAAGAGAAAAACAGUGUGAGAGGAAAUUUCACACUGUGACGGUAUCUUACCAGAAAGGGACGGCUAACUACGUGCCAGCAGCCGCGGUAAUACGUAGGUCCCGAGCGUUGUCCGGAUUUAUUGGGCGUAAAGCGAGCGCAGGCGGUUAGAUAAGUCUGAAGUUAAAGGCUGUGGCUUAACCAUAGUAGGCUUUGGAAACUGUUUAACUUGAGUGCAAGAGGGGAGAGUGGAAUUCCAUGUGUAGCGGUGAAAUGCGUAAAUAUAUGGAGGAACACCGGUGGCGAAAGCGGCUCUCUGGCUUGUAACUGACGCUGAGGCUCGAAAGCGUGGGGAGCAAACAGGAUUAAAUACCCUGGUAGUCCACGCUGUAAACGAUGAGUGCUAGGUGUUAGACCCUUUCCGGGGUUUAGUGCCGUAGCUAACGCAUUAAGCACUCCGCCUGGGGAGUACGACCGCAGGUUG